GGAAGUUAAGAAACUGUUUUUUAACUUUUAACUAAAAAAGUUAAGAAUCGGUUCUUAAAUAAGGAUUUUAAGAACCAGUUCUUAGUAUUUUUAGUUAAAAGUUAAGAAAUCGUUUUUUAAUUUCC
rnacentral:pre_miRNA from 1 species